rnacentral:rRNA from 1 species
CCUACGGGAGGCAGCAGUGAGGAAUAUUGGUCAAUGGACGAGAGUCUGAACCAGCCAAGUAGCGUGAAGGAUGACUGCCCUAUGGGUUGUAAACUUCUUUUAUAUGGGAAUAAAAUGUUCCACGUGUGGGAUUUUGUAUGUACCAUAUGAAUAAGGAUCGGCUAACUCCGUGCCAGCAGCCGCGGUAAUACGGAGGAUCCGAGCGUUAUCCGGAUUUAUUGGGUUUAAAGGGAGCGUAGGUGGAUUGUUAAGUCAGUUGUGAAAGUUUGCGGCUCAACCAUAAAAUUGCAGUUGAAACUGGCAGUCGUGAGUACAGUAGAGGUGGGCGGAAUUCGUGGUGUAGCGGUGAAAUGCUUAGAUAUCACGAAGAACUCCGAUUGCGAAGGCAGCUCACUGGACUGCAACUGACACUGAGGCUCGAAAGUGUGGGUAUCAAACAGGAUUAGAUACCCUAGUAGUC